rnacentral:rRNA from 1 species
GACGAACGCUGGCGGCGUGCUUAACACAUGCAAGUCGAACGAAGAGCGAUGGAAGCUUGCUUCUAUCAAUCUUAGUGGCGAACGGGUGAGGAACGCGUAAUCAACCUGCCCUUCAGAGGGGGACAACAGUUGGAAACGACUGCUAAUACCGCAUACGAUCUAAUCUCGGCAUCGAGGAUAGAUGAAAGGUGGCCUCUACAUGUAAGCUAUCACUGAAGGAGGGGAUUGCGUCUGAUUAGCUAGUUGGAGGGGUAACGGCCCACCAAGGCGAUGAUCAGUAGCCGGUCUGAGAGGAUGAACGGCCACAUUGGGACUGAGACACGGCCCAGACUCCUACGGGAGGCAGCAGUGGGGAAUCUUCCGCAAUGGACGAAAGUCUGACGGAGCAACGCCGCGUGAGUGAUGACGGCCUUCGGGUUGUAAAGCUCUGUUAAUCGGGACGAAAGGCCUUCUUGCGAAUAGUGAGAAGGAUUGACGGUACCGGAAGAGAAAGCCACGGCUAACUACGUG